AACGAACGCUGGCGGCAGGCUUAACACAUGCAAGUCGAACGAGUGUAGCAAUACACUAGUGGCGCACGGGUGAGUAACACGUGGAUAUCUGCCUUUUGGUUCGGGAUAACCCUGGGAAACUAGGGCUAAUACCGAAUGGUUCCUACGGGAUAAAGAUUUAUCGCCAAAAGAUGAGUCCGCGUCCGAUUAGCUAGUUGGUGAGGUAAUGGCUCACCAAGGCGACGAUCGGUAGCUGGUCUGAGAGGACGAUCAGCCACACUGGGACUGAGACACGGCCCAGACUCCUACGGGAGGCAGCAGUGGGGAAUAUUGGACAAUGGGGGCACACCCUGAUCCAGCCAUGCCGCGUGAGUGAUSAAGGCSUUMGGGUUGUAAAGCUCUUUUGGCGGGGAMGAURAUGACGGU
rnacentral:rRNA from 1 species